GGUGUGAGCACCCCUCAGCCCAGCCUAUUGCCUACCCAUUAAACUGAGGGCUGGGGGCUGAGAGGGGCCCUGAGGCCUGAUGCACAGACAGAAACCACUAGGCCUGGCUCUAGAGCCAAGGGCUCUGUCUGAGUCAACAAAAUCUCUGGCUCUAGGUUCUUACCCAUGGAGAUGAUCUGAUGCCAAAUGUCCAAAGGCUUAUUACUAGGUUGCUCUAGAGAGCCUUUGAGCCAGACAGAUCCCAACCCUGGCAAAAACAAAGCCUCAGACCGCUCAACGUGUAAGGCGAUCCCAGGUGUGUGACCCCCAUUUGGAAGCGGGCUGCUAAGGAGCUGCAGCCCCAGAGGGGACUUUGCAAAUGCCCUUCUCAGGUGUCAAGGCAGAGAACAGAACUGGGGGCAGCCACAUGGCUAGGGCACCCAGGCCAGGCAGGAAGUCCAAUGUCCUGCCCCCAAUAGGCUGCAGAAAUAAGCUACAGACUAGCCACCUCUGGAGCAAUUUCCAUUUCCUGAUUUUUCCAAACCAUAAACUCCACUAAUGCUGUGGCCUGUUGAGUCAGGGACUGGACAGGAAAGAGAGGCACCAGGUAGCUUGUGACUCAUCGGUCUUGCCAUAGUUACUACCUGCUUAGCUCCUCCUCCAGAGAAGCUGCUUCUCCCAGAGCCACAUCACACCAGAAGCAGGCUUUGCUCAACUGACUGCCACUCCCUCAAGGGAAGGGAGCCCUACUGUUCAUCUUGGCAACCCUGGCAGCAAGAGAGACCCAAGACCACUGCAAGAUGGUGUCUAGAGCCCUCCUUGAGAAUCAGAAAGCAUUUUAUGGUCUCAUCCACAUCCCCUUGACUUCAGAGGAAGGCCUAGUCCUUGUGAGUGAUGCUUCAGAAGGACACAUAACCAGAUCGCUCUGCCCUGAAGCAGAAAGUGGACAGGUGUGCCAAGAAAACUCCCUGCCCCACUGGAUGGCACCAAGUGGAACCAUGAAGCAGAAGCCAGUGCAAAACAGUAAAUAAACUGUGGUGUAAUGGCCUGGCCAGACUACACUUGGGAUUAGGGAAGGCAGGCUCCUGGGGGGGGGGGGGGGUGGCUACCUGGAGACAGGACCUAAAGCUGUAAGGCUGCCUCGGGUAGAGGAUUCUAGUUCAAACAAAGCUGACUACUGUCCUGGGUAAGGACACUCCACUUCAUCAGCCUUGACUUCCUCAUCUGUAACAUGGGGCAGACUGGCCUAGACUGCUUCUGUCACUGCUCUCAGUCUAGGCUUCUGAGCAGCACUACCAUGGGGGAAUCUACAAGCUCUGGCUGCCCGGGUUCAAAUCCCAGCUCUGCUAUUCCCAUGAAAUCCACGAGUCCCUUCACCUCAUCAACUGUAACUCCUCGUCUAUAACAAGGGAAUGAAGAGAACACCCAAUGAGGCCUAUUUACUACUGUGUGGAUUCAGUGAGGGUGUACCUGGCAUGGAGUGAGGGAUUAAUAACUAUUAUCAUUCUGUGAAUUCUGUGGCCUCCUGCCACCACCAUCCUUUCUAUGGACUGAAUGUUUGUGUCUCCCCCCAGCUCAUGUUGCACGUAGUCCUAAUCCCCAAUGUGUUGGUAUUUGGAGAUGGUGCCCUCGGGAGACAGGGUUAGAUGAGGUCAUGAGGGUGGGGACCUUGUGAUGGGACUGGUGACUUUAUAAGAAGAGAAGAGAAAGAGAUGGAAGAAAAGCCAUGUUAGGGCACAGCAAGAAGGUGGUCAUCUUCAACCCAAGAAGAGAGCCCUCCCAGAUACCGACCCUGCUAGGACCUCGAUCUUGGAUUUCCCAGCCUCCAGAACUCUGAGAAAUAAAUUUCUGCUGUUUGAGUCACACAGUCUAAGGUACUUUGCUAUGGGAGCCCAGCAGAUUAAGACAACCCCGUGACCAGCCAUCCCCGUCCCCUUCUCUCUGCAUGGGGCGACCCACCAGGUACCCCCAAACCCAGGAAAAUCAACAUCAUGCACACCCUGGAGACCUCAUGCAUGAUCUCAAGCAUACACAGGGUCAGGUGAAACUCAGCAUGCCAAGCAGCAGGUAAGGCACAGGCAUUGCAACAGGACAGGACGGACAAGCAGAGAGGAGACAGGUGCGUGGGAGGCCAUGUGCAGUCAGCGAGGGGUGGGGAGCUAGCACAGGCCAUGACCAAGCAGCCCACGCCAGUGGCGCUUG